UACGGGGGGGGCAAGCGUUGUUCGGAAUUACUGGGCGUAAAGGGCGUGUAGGCGGCCAACUAAGUCCGACGUGAAAUCCCCAGGCUUAACCUGGGAACUGCGUCGGAUACUGGAUGGCUUGAAUCCGGGAGAGGGAUGCGGAAUUCCAGGUGUAGCGGUGAAAUGCGUAGAUAUCUGGAGGAACACCGGUGGCGAAGGCGACAUCCUGGACCGACACUGACGCUGAGGAGCGAAAGCCAGGGGAGCAAACGGG
rnacentral:rRNA from 1 species